CCUCUGCCCUGAAGCUCUUCAACCAUGUCCUGAAACAGAUUUGCUACCACAGUCACAUCUGCUUCCUCAGUGCUUGCCUCCGCAACCAACUAAUCCCACUACAUUCAGACCAGCACAGUUUGGAUCCGAACAAGACAACUAGUACAGACUACAAAUUCAAAACCACCAGCAAUGGUUCUCCUUCAGGAUCCUCCACUCCACACUCGCAGCCAUGCGCCGCCACCUAACCUCUCUACAGUCAGCUAUGCCUCAACUGAGGGCCUCACUUUUUCAGACUACAAAGGACGCCUUCUGUACGACAUCCAAAGAAGAAUUCAUACUCUCAACAAACAGUAUUUCUACACCGUCUCAAACAUCAAAAAUUAGUUGUAGCAUGUU